rnacentral:rRNA from 1 species
ACUGAAUAGAUACCCAGGUAGUCCAUGCUGUAAACGAUGAGAACUAGAUGUUAGGGGGCAUGACCUCUUAGUAUCGAAGCUAACGCGAUAAGUUCUCCGCCUGGGGAGUACGGCCGCAAGGUUAAAACUCAAAGAAAUUGACGGGGGCCCGCACAAGCGGUGGAGCAUGUGGUUUAAUUCGAUGCAACGCGAAGAACCUUACCUACCUUUGAAUCCACGGAACCUAGCAGAGAUGUUGAGGUGCCUUCGGGAACCGUGAGACAGGUGCUGCAUGGCUGUCGUCAGCUCGUGUCGUGAGAUGUUGGGUUAAGUCCCGUAACGAGCGCAACCCUUGUCCUUAGUUGCCAUCAGGUUAUGCUGGGCACUUUAAGGAGACUGCCGGUGAUAAACCGGAGGAAGGUGGGGAUGACGUCAAGUCCUCAUGGCCCUUACAGGUAGGGCUACACACGUGCUACAAUGGGCAGUACAGAGGGAAGCCAACCCGCGAGGGGAGCGAAUCUCAUAAAGCUGUUCGUAGUCCGGAUUGGAGUCUGCAAC